rnacentral:rRNA from 1 species
CGACCCCAGGUUAAUCGGGAUUACCAGCUGAGUUUAAGCAUAUCAAUAAGUGGCGGAAACGAAACUUAAAAGGAUUACCUUAGUAACGGCGAGCAAAUCGGGAACAACCCAGACUUAGAAUCAGGCGACUCCGUUGUCCGAUUGUAGUCCGGAAAAGCAUCCUCAAUGGCGGACCAGGUCCAAGUCCUUUGGAAAGGGGACCUAGAGAGGGUGAGAGUCCCAUUGUUCUUGGACCCUAUCUCAUCACAAGGCACUGUCUAUGAGUUGAGUUGUUUAGAAAUGCAGCCCAAAUCAGGCAGUGAAUUCUAUCGAAGGCUAAAUACUGGCGAGAGACCGAUAGAAAAUGAGUAAUGCAAGGGAGUGAUGAAAAAUAAUUUGAAAAGAGAGUCAAAGAGUUCUUGAAAUGUUUGAUCGAAAAGAGGAUAGGGGUCAGCGAUGCACCCCAGUCGGAUAUAGAACAACCAUGAUCCAGUCCGCCGAUCGACUCAGGGAGUGGACCAGUAUGGAUUGGGGGAGGCCAAAAUCAAAGAUCUCGAUACACUCCUAGAACACCGUUUCCUCGAUUGUGGCAAGAAGCAUGAGCCUCUGGCGUGGUUCGACAUCUGCGCACUCUAGACGCUGGCUUGUGGGCUACCCAUUUGACUCAUCUUGAAACACGGACCAAGGAGUCUAACAUGUGUGUGAGUCAAUGGGCGAGUAAAAUCAUAAGGUGCAAGGAAGCUGAUUGGUGGGAUUCCCCUAAGGGGUACACCGCCGACCAACCUUGAUCUUCUAAGAAGGGUUCGAGUGUGAGCAUACCUGUCGAGACCCGAAAGACGGUGAACUAUGCCUGAGCGGGGUAAAGCCAGAGGAUAUUCUGGUGGAGUCCCAUAGCUAUACUAACAUGUAGAUCAUUCGUCUAACUUGGGUAUAGGGGCGAAAGAAUAAUUGAACCAUAUACUAGGUGGUUCCCUCAGAAGCUUCCCUCAGGAGAGAUGGAGCUCGCGUGUCAGUUCUAUCAGGUAAAGCCAAUGAUUAGAGGCCUCAGGGGCGCAACUCCUUUUACCUAUUCUUAAACUUUAAAUAAGUAGGACGGUGCGACUGGUUUGUUGAGCUGCGCCACAGAAUUAAGAGCUCCAAGUGGGCUAUUUUUGGUAAGCAGAACUAACGAUGUGGUAUGUACUAAAAUAUGGGUUAUGGUGCCAAAAUACGCUCUAACCUAGAUCCCACAAAGGGUGUUGGUAGAUUAAGACAACAUGAUAGUAGUCAUGGAAUUCAAAAUCUGCUAAGGAGUGUGUAACAACUCACCUGCCGAAUAACCUAGCCUCAAAAAUGAAUGGUGCUUAAGCACGUGACCUACACCCAGUUGUCAGGGAAAAUGCCAGGCCACGAUGUGUAUGAGGGUACAACGGUCACUAUAGAACUUUGGGCGCGAGCCCGGGUGAAGUGGCCAUCAGUGCAAAUCUUGGUGGUAAUAGCAAAUAUUCAAAUGAGAACUUUGAAGGACGGAGAGGGGAAAGGUUCCGUGUGAAUGAUAGUUUAACAUAGUUUAGUCAAUCAUAAGGUUCAGGAGAACCUCGAUCGAUAGCGCAUUUUGUGUGUACUCUAAAAGAAAAUCAGGUUAAAAUUCUUAAACUGAGACAUGGCGAUCAAUGGCAACGUUAGGAAGUCCGUAGUUAUAGGUGGGAGCCUUGGGAAGAGUCAUCUUUUCUGUUUAAUAGCCUGCCUACCCUGGAAUUGGCUCAGACGGAGGCAGGGUCCAGUGGCUGAAAAAGUAUCGUACGUUGCGUGGUGUUUGAUGUGCUCCUGGUGGCCCUUGAAAAUUUGAAGGAUCGAAUGCCGUCCAUGACUGGUCGUACUCAUAACUGCAUCAGGUCUCUAGGGUGAACAACCUCUGGUCGAUGGAAUAAUGUAAUAAAGGGAAGUCAGUAAAAUGGAUCCAUAACUUUGGGAAAAAAAUUGGGUGGACUUCUUGAGCUGCUCCCACAGCAAGAGCAGGUUGUCGCAUGCCGGCUAGGGGGUAGACUAGGAAUGGUUCCUUCGGACGCCUUCUCUACGUGUCGAACAGCUAACUCAGAAUUGGUAUGGACAAGGGGAAUUCAACUAUUUAAUUAAAACAAAGAAUUGCGAUGGUCCCAAUGGAUGUUCACGUAAUAUGAUUUCUUCCCAGUGCUCCAAAUGUCAAAGUGAAGAAAUUCAACCAAGCGCGAGUAAAUGAUGGGAGUAACUAUGACUCUCUUAAGGUAACCAAACACCUUUUCAUCUAAUUAAUGAUGUGUAUGAAUGGAUUUACGAGAUUCCCACUGUACCUGACUACUAUCCAGUGAUACCACAGCCAAGGGAACGGGCUUGGCAGAAUCAACAAGGAAAGAAUACUCUGUUGACUCUAGUCUGACUUUGUGAAAUGACUUGAGAGGUGCUGUAUAAGAGGGAACUGAAAGGCGAAAGUGAAAUACCGCUACUUUUAACAUUUUAAAAUUAUUUUAUGAACCAAAAGAGGGGCACUGCCCCUCGUUUUGGACCCAAGGCUCGCUCUGCGGGCUGAUCUGGGUGGUAGACAUUUUCAGGUGGGGAGUUUUACUGGGGAGGCACACUUGUUAAAAGAUAAUGCAGGUGUCCUAAGCUGAGCUCAAUAAGAAUAGAAAUCUUUUGUAGAACAGAAGGGUAAAAACUCAUUUGAUUCUCAUUUCUAGUAUAAAUACGAACCAUGAAAGUGUGGCCUAACGAUCCUUUAGACCUUUAAAAUUUGAAUCUAGAGGUGUUAGAAAAGUUACCACAGGGAUAAUGGGCUUGUGGCAGCCAAGCUUUCAUAGCGACACUGCUUUUUGAUCCUUCGAUGUUGGCUCUUCCUAUCAUUAUGAAGCAGAAUUCGCCAAGUGUUGGAUUGUUCACCCACCAAUAAGGAACGUGAGCUGGGUUUAAACCGUUGUGAGACAGGUUAGUUUUACCCUACUGAUGACAGUGUCACAAUAGUAAUUCAACCUAGUAUAAGAGGAACCGUUGAUUCACAUAAUUGGUCAUCGCGCUUGGUUAAAAAUCCAGUGGCGCAAAGCUAUCAUGUUUUGGAUUAUGAAUGAACUUCUCUAAGUCAGAAUCCGGGCUAGAAGUGACCCACAGUAGGGGCCUCAACCCCCAAGGGAACAUGUCGUUGGCUAAUCCAUCGCAGUAUACGAGUCGCGGUGGUCGCCUUGAAGUAUAAUUUCCAUCAAGCAGUGGGUAGAAUACUUUGUAGACAACUUAAGUAUGUUACGGCGUAUUGUAAUUGGCAGAGUUGCCUUCCUAGCAUGAUCCACUGAGAUUCAUCCCUUUGUCGCUCCGGUUUGU